rnacentral:rRNA from 1 species
GAACGCUGGCGGCAGGCCUAACACAUGCAAGUCGAACGGUAACAGGAAGCAGCUUGCUGCUUUGCUGACGAGUGGCGGACGGGUGAGUAAUGUCUGGGAAACUGCCCGAUGGAGGGGGAUAACUACUGGAAACGGUAGCUAAUACCGCAUAACGUCGCAAGACCAAAGAGGGGGACCUUAGGGCCUCUUGCCAUCGGAUGUGCCCAGAUGGGAUUAGCUAGUAGGUGGGGUAAUGGCUCACCUAGGCGACGAUCCCUAGCUGGUCUGAGAGGAUGACCAGCCACACUGGAACUGAGACACGGUCCAGACUCCUACGGGAGGCAGCAGUGGGGAAUAUUGCACAAUGGGCGCAAGCCUGAUGCAGCCAUGCCGCGUGUAUGAAGAAGGCCUUCGGGUUGUAAAGUACUUUCAGCGGGGAGGAAGGGAGUAAAGUUAAUACCUUUGCUCAUUGACGUUACCCGCAGAAGAAGCACCGGCUAACUCCGUGCCAGCAGCCGCGGUAAUACGGAGGGUGCAAGCGUUAAUCGGAAUUACUGGGCGUAAAGCGCACGCAGGCGGUUUGUUAAGUCAGAUGUGAAAUCCCCGGGCUCAACCUGGGAACUGCAUCUGAUACUGGCAAGCUUGAGUCUCGUAGAGGGGGGUAGAAUUCCAGGUGUAGCGGUGAAAUGCGUAGAGAUCUGGAGGAAUACCGGUGGCGAAGGCGGCCCCCUGGACGAAGACUGACGCUCAGGUGCGAAAGCGUGGGGAGCAAACAGGAUUAAAUACCCCUGGUAGUCCACGCCGUAAACGAUGUCGACUUGGAGGUUGUGCCCUUGAGGCGUGGCUUCCGGAGCUAACGCGUUAAGUCGACCGCCUGGGGAGUACGGCCGCAAGGUUAAAACUCAAAUGAAUUGACGGGGGCCCGCACAAGCGGUGGAGCAUGUGGUUUAAUUCGAUGCAACGCGAAGAACCUUACCUGGUCUUGACAUCCACGGAAGUUUUCAGAGAUGAGAAUGUGCCUUCGGGAACCGUGAGACAGGUGCUGCAUGGCUGUCGUCAGCUCGUGUUGUGAAAUGUUGGGUUAAGUCCCGCAACGAGCGCAACCCUUAUCCUUUGUUGCCAGCGGUCCGGCCGGGAACUCAAAGGAGACUGCCAGUGAUAAACUGGAGGAAGGUGGGGAUGACGUCAAGUCAUCAUGGCCCUUACGACCAGGGCUACACACGUGCUACAAUGGCGCAUACAAAGAGAAGCGACCUCGCGAGAGCAAGCGGACCUCAUAAAGUGCGUCGUAGUCCGGAUUGGAGUCUGCAACUCGACUCCAUGAAGUCGGAAUCGCUAGUAAUCGUGGAUCAGAAUGCCACGGUGAAUACGUUCCCGGGCCUUGUACACACCGCCCGUCACACCAUGGGAGUGGGUUGCAAAAGAAGUAGGUAGCUUAACCUUCGGGAGGGCGCUUACCACUUUGUGAUUCAAA